AGAUGGCACAGUCCUGAGAAUGAACUCAGAGACAGAGGAGCCGAGAGAGAGAGAGACAAGGGAGAGAAUAAUUGAAACCAGGGAGACAGAAAGUAGUCAGACAGAGUGAAAGAGGCGGAAAAUCUGAUAAAUGAAGAGAAAAACACGUAAAGAGAAACAUGAUGAAGUCAAAGACCAAGUGAGCUGAGAUUCCUGACUGUAUUGGCAUGUGGGACCUGAAGAGACACCAGAGAAAGAGCAACAGUGAAGGCUCUGAGAGAGAGGGGACAGAGGGGGACAGAAACGCUGAGAGAUCCUCAUCCAGAAGCUGCUGCCACAGGAUCUCAUCCCACUCUCUCUCCCUCCCAGACUCGGAUUCGGAAACGUGACAAAGUCAGACAGGCGUCGCCGUCGCGCUGAAGGACAGGCGGUCCCACUCCUCCCUCCAUCCUGCCCAGUCACCACCUCUCCCAACCCUGUACCAGUGUGUGAUUGACAGCAGACACCCUGGGCGGGGGCUGGGGAGGCGGGGCUCGGGGCUCUGCACAUGCUCAGAUCGUCCUAAGAUUUUGCAUCUGCGGCGGGCCGUGCGACCUCUAACCUCUGACCCUGGAAUUCUGUGUCAUCAGAAUAAGAGCCGCUGUUCCCCCACUCUGCCUAGAGGGCUUGCGAUUUCUUACUGUGUUAUUACUCCUGUGCAGUAUUUUCACCACUACAGGGCUUGCGACCAGUGUCCAGUUAUCGGGAGUGAAGUCAGUGCUGUUUGCGCUGUGUCCUCGCGCUCCUGCUCUGCUGCUGUUGCUGCAGUUCACUCUGCGGUGGACAGGGGGUGCUGUGAGCAGUGUGAACUGAAGUAAGGGAUCCCGGCUCCGUCCUCCUGAGUCACUCCCUGGCUCAGUCCAGGACGAAGACCGGCAAUCUCUGACCUCUGUGAAGGAAGAAAAUGGCUGGAAUUAUAAGCCAGUGUGGACAGGAACCCGGAGGUCACCAGGAGGUUCAGAAGAUAAUAUAUUCUAUUCAUCGUCUCAACCAAGAGUACAAAGCCUGCAUUAGCCUCAGAUCAUCGAUUCAGACUUCCUAAUUUAAGUGCAAUAAAAGUGUGUUAUCUUUUAUCUCCACAGCUAUUGACCUGCUUAAUUUAGACAGCUGACUGUAUAUUUUAUUUGUUUUUUUUUUCAUAUAUUUAUCGUAUGUACCUAUCGCAAACACUGAAAACUUAUUUCUUUGUUUCUUUUAAAUUGCGAAAAUUACCUAAAGUUGUCGACUUUUUUUUCAGCUCAUGCUUGUAUGUUUCUAAUUUGUUAAAGGGAUCAGGUAGUGUUAGAUGUAUUGUGUAUUGCUUUCUGUCUUUUACUGGCCUGCAAAGCACGUUUCCAAUCUGGGACAAUAAAGGAGGUAAACAAGCAAUCUGCACCUGGGACUAUUUCACUGAGACACAGCUGUGCACGCUGAUGGGGAAACACAGCGCCACCUGUGCGAAUAAUCAAGGUGCUCGUUUUAAACAAAA